rnacentral:rRNA from 1 species
AGAGUGAACGCUGGCGGCAGGCCUAACACAUGCAAGUCGAACGGCAGCGGGUCAGUAGCAAUACUGAUGCCGGCGAGUGGCGGACGGGUGAGGAAUACAUCGGAAUCUACCUUGUCGUGGGGGAUAACGUAGGGAAACUUACGCUAAUACCGCAUACGAACUAUGGUUGAAAGCGGCGGACCGCAAGGCGUCGCGCGAUUGGAUGAGCCGAUGUCCGAUUAGCUAGUUGGCGGGGUAAAGGCCCACCAAGGCGACGAUCGGUAGCUGGUCUGAGAGGAUGAUCAGCCACACUGGAACUGAGACACGGUCCAGACUCCUACGGGAGCAGCAGGUAGGAAUAGU